UGUGAAGCUCUCCACAGAUAACAGUGGUGACAGCACCAUGUUCUUCAGUGAUGGCGGGCAGUGAUGGAGGGUGCCAUGUGAAGCUCUCCACAGAUAACAGUGGUGACAGCAUCAUGUUCUUCAGUGAUGUUGGGCAGUGAUGGAGGGUGCCAUGUGAAGCUCUCCACAGAUAACAGUGGUGACAGCACCAUGUUCUUCAGUGAUGUUGGGCAGUGAUGGAGGGUGCCAUGUGAAGCUCUCCACAGAUAACAGUGGUGACAGCAUCAUGUUCUUCAGUGAUGUUGGGCAGUGAUGGAGGGUGCCAUGUGAAGCUCUCCACAGAUAACAGUGGUGACAGCACCAUGUUCUUCAGUGAUGGCAGGCAGUGAUGGAGGGUGCCAUGUGAAGCUCUCCAGAGAUAACAGUGGUGACAGCAUCAUGUUCUUCAGUGAUGGCGGGCAGUGAUGGAGGGUGCCAUGUGAAGCUCUCCACAGAUAACAGUGGUGACAGCACCAUGUUCUUCAGUGAUGUUGGGCAGUGAUGGAGGGUGCCAUGUGAAGCUCUCCACAGAUAACAGUGGUGACAGCACCAUGUUCUUCAGUGAUGGAGGGUGCCAUGUGAAGCUCUCCACAGAUAACAGUGGUGACAGCAUCAUGUUCUUCAGUGAUGUUGGGCAGUGAUGGAGGGUGCCAUGUGAAGCUCUCCAGAGAUAACAGUGGUGACAGCAUCAUGUUCUUCAGUGAUGUUGGGCAGUGAUGGAGGGUGCCAUGUGAAGCUCUCCAGAGAUAACAGUGGUGACAGCAUCAUGUUCUUCAGUGAUGGCUGGCAGUGAUGGAGGGUGCCAUGUGAAGCUCUCCAGAGAUAACAGUGGUGACAGCAUCAUGUUCUUCAGUGAUGUUGGGCAGUGAUGGAGGGUGCCAUGUGAAGCUCUCCACAGAUAACAGUGGUGACAGCACCAUGUUCUUCAGUGAUGUUGGGCAGUGAUGGAGGGUGCCAUGUGAAACUCUCCACAGAUAACAGUGGUGACAGCACCAUGUUCUUCAGUGAUGUUGGGCAGUGAUGGAGGGUGCCAUGUGAAGCUCUCCACAGAUAACAGUGGUGACAGCACCAUGUUCUUCAGUGAUGGCGGGCAGUGAUGGAGGGUGCCAUGUGAAGCUCUCCACAGAUAACAGUGGUGACAGCAUCAUGUUCUUCAGUGAUGGCGGGCAGUGAUGGAGGGUGCCAUGUGAAGCUCUCCAGAGAUAACUGUGGUGACAGCACCAUGUUCUUCAGUGAUGGCAGGCAGUGAUGGAGGGUGCCAUGUGAAGCUCUCCAGAGAUAACAGUGGUGACAGCACCAUGUUCUUCAGUGAUGUUGGGCAGUGAUGGAGGGUGCCAUGUGAAGCUCUCCAGAGAUAACAGUGGUGACAGCACCAUGUUCUUCAGUGAUGUUGGGCAGUGAUGGAGGGUGCCAUGUGAAGCUCUCCACAGAUAACAGUGGUGACAGCACCAUGUUCUUCAGUGAUGGCGGGCAGUGAUGGAGGGUGCCAUGUGAAGCUCUCCAGAGAUAACAGUGGUGACAGCACCAUGUUCUUCAGUGAUGGCGGGGGCCCUCACCAGUCUUCUUCAUUAAGCUUCUGUCUUCCUGCUUCAGGCUGCAAUCAAACAGUUGUUUAGUACCACAUUAAUAUGUUUGGGGCAGAUUGAAUUAUAGCUAACAUAGUAUACUGUUUGAUUGAAUAUUUGAAAGAAUCAAACCUAAACUAACAUACUGUUUGAUUGAAUAUUUGAAAGAAUCAAACCUAAACUAACAUACUGUUUGAUUGAAUAUUUGAAAGAAUCAAACCUAAACUAACAUACUGUUUGAUUGAAUAUUUGAAAGAAUCAAACCUAAACUAACAUACUGUUUGAUUGAAUAUUUGAAAGAAUCAAACCUAAACUAACAUACUGUUUGAUUGAAUAUUUGAAAGAAUCAAACCUAAACUAACAUACUGUUUGAUUGAAUAUUUGAAAGAAUCAAACCUAAACUAACCAGGUUACCCCAUUCCCAAGCUUGCAGGGUAGGCACUGAAAAAGGUAGAUUGAAAAACAGAACUGUAUUACUAACCUAAAUGAAUGUAUUAUUCUAGUGUUUGUGUUAGAGAUAGGUUUACUGUUCAACAGGAUGAGGUAGGGUUGUUAAGUUUGAAAAUGGCUCUUAAUGAAGCAGUAAUAGGUUACUAUUUUGUCUGUGAUUGUUAAAUUAUUAGCAUGUUUAAAAGCUACAACUGCUAUAUGCUACAUAGUAAUAUUCUAUGUAUCUAUAUAUCUUUCCCUUUGCCCUAAUUAAAGGUUAAAUUCAAUAUCAAUGAAAAUUUCUGCUCUUAUAAAUUGUCAAAAUGAGUUGUAGCCUAUUCCUAACUGAUCAGAAUUAGUUUGCAUCCUGAGAACACGUGAUUGAUGUAGUAUUUGUUUCAAUAGGCUAGAAAUUUAUCAUUUAAAUCAACACAAGGUUAUGUUAGCCAGUCAUUCAUUACACAUGUUUUUCUUUAGUUUGAGACAAGGUUAUGUUAGCCAGUCAUUCAUUACACAUGUUUUUCUUUAGUUUGAGACAAGGUUAUGUUAGCCAGUCAUUCAUUACAUGUGUUUUUCUUUAGUUUGAGACAAGGUUAUGUUAGCCAGUCAUUCAUUACACAUGUUUUUCUUUAGUUUGAGACAAGGUUAUGUUAGCCAGUCAUUCAUUACAUAUGUUUUUCUUUAGUUUGAGACAAGGUUAUGUUAGCCAGUCAUUCAUUACAUGUGUUUUUCUUUAGUUUGAGACAAGGUUAUGUUAGCCAGUCAUUCAUUACACAUGUUUUUCUUUAGUUUGAGAC